CCUACGGGUGGCUGCAGUGGGGAAUAUUGCACAAUGGGGGAAACCCUGAUGCAGCGACGCCGCGUGAGUGAAGAAGUAAUUCGUUACGUAAAGCUCUAUCCGCAGGGAAGAAAAUGACGGUACCUGAGUAACAAGCCCCGGCUAACUACGUGCCAGCAGCCGCGGUCAUACGUAGGGGGCAAGCGUUAUCCGGAUUUACUGGGGGUAAAGGGAGCGUAGACGGUGCGCCAAGUCUGGAGUGAAAGGCCGCAGCUUAACUGCGGAACUGCUUUGGAAACUGGCGAACUAGAGUGCGGGAGGGGGAAGCGGAAUUCCUAGUGUAGCGGUGAAAUGCGUAGAUAGUAGGAGGAACACCGGUGGCGAAGGCGGCUUACGGGACCGUAACUGACGUUGAGGCACGAAGGCGUGGGGAGCGAACAGGAUUAGAUACCCGUGUAGUC
rnacentral:rRNA from 1 species